UACAUUAGCUAGUUGGUAGGGUAAUGGCCUACCAAGGCGAUGAUGUAUAGCUGAGUUGAGAGACUGAACAGCCACACUGGGACUGAGAUACGGCCCAGACUCCUACGGGAGGCAGCAGUAGGGAAUUUUCCACAAUGGACGAAAGUCUGAUGGAGUGACACAGCGUGCAGGAUGAAGGUCUUCGGAUUGUAAACUGCUGUUAUAAGGGAAGAAAAGCUUAGGGAGGAAAUGCCCUAAGUAUGACGGUACCUUGUCAGAAAGCACCGGCUAACUAUGUGCCAGCAGCCGCGGUAAUACAUAGGGUGCAAGCGUUAUCCGAAAUUAUUGGGUGUAAAGAGUUCGUAGGUUGUUUGUUAAGUCAGAAGUUAAAUCGCAAGGUCCGGGGCUCAACCCUGGCCCGCUUUUGAUACUAGCAAACUAGAGUUAUAAAGAGGUUAGUGGAAUUCCUAGUGAAGCGGUGAAAUGUGUAGAUAUUAGGAAGAACAUCAAUGGCGAAGGCAGCUAACUGGUUAUGUACUGACACUGAGGAACGAAAGCGUGGGGAGCAAACAGGAUUAGAUACCCUGGUAGUCCACGCCCCUGCCGUAAACGAUGAUCAUUAGCUGGUGGAAUUUUUCACUAGCGCAGCUAACGCAUUAAAUGAUCCACCUGAGUAGUAUGCUCGCAAGAGUGAAACUUAAAGGAAUUGACGGGGACCCGCACAAGCGGUGGAGCAUGUGGUUUAAUUUGACGAUACGCGUAGAACCUUACCCACUCUUGACAUCCUUCGCAAAGCUAUAGAGAUAUAGUGGAGGUUAACGGAGUGACAGAUGGUGCAUGGUUGUCGUCAGCUCGUGUCGUGAGAUGUUCGGUUAAGUCCUGCAACGAGCGCAACCCCUAUCUUUAAUUACUACAUUAAGUUGAGGACUUUAAAGAUACUGACCUUUUCUAUUUUUA
rnacentral:rRNA from 2 species